rnacentral:lncRNA from 1 species
GCUUGUAGAGCUUCCUAUUUAUAGCCUUAAAUCUCAACAACAACAAUCACUAGGGAAAUAUUAAAAUCUGAAAUUCUAAUCCCUUUCAAAGCAAAAUCGUAGCCCAUCUCUUCAUUGGUUCUUCUUUUCUUCAAUUUAUGCCCCAUUUCCAGCUUUUGUUAUUCAAAUUCAUUGCUUUUUACAUUGCUUUCUUGCUCCCAUCUUGCCACUAAGCCAAUUACCAUCAAGUUCUUUCAUUGUUUACUUUGCUGCUGCUCCCC